GCCUGCCCAGUGACAAUGAUUCAACGGCCGCAGAACCCCUAACCGCGCAAAGGUAGCACAAUCACUUGUCUCCUAAAUAGAGACUUGUAUCAACGGCAUCACGAGGGUUAAACUGUCUCCCACCCCCAAUCAGUGAAACUGAUCUCCCCGUGAAGAAGCGGGGAUAAAACUAUAAGACGAGAAGACCCUAUGGAGCUUCAGGCCAAAUGCGCAACUGCAUACAAACAAAACUCUAUAUAAUGCAGCACCUGCCAUCCGCCUUCGGCUGGGGAGACCAUGGAGUAAAACAAAACCUCCACAACAAACAGGGCUAACACCCUAAUCCAAGAGCCACACCUCUAAGAAUUGAUAAAUCAAUGUAAAAUGAUCCGAUAAUCGAUCAAUGAACCAAGUUACCCUAGGGAUAACAGCGCAAUCCAUUUCAAGAGCCCCUAUCAACAAAUGGGUUUACGACCUCGAUGUUGGAUCAGGGUGUCCCAGUGGCGCAAUCGCUACUAACGGUUCGUUUGUUCAACGAUUAAAACCCUAC
rnacentral:rRNA from 1 species